CUAGACCUCCGCCAAGGAUAUAUGACGAUUGCCCAAUAUGCAGCCCAAUUUGUCAAACUGUCUAGGUUUGCUCCUCUAAUGGUCACCCCCCAAAAUCGUUUGAAAGGCCUUCAUACUGAUAUCCAUGAACGGGUUACGAUGUUGAGACUCAACCCAUAUGCCGAGGCACUAGAACAUGCUCAAUUGGCUGAAGAUCUCAUCUCGGCUAGGCACCAACGCAUUACUUGAGUC
rnacentral:lncRNA from 1 species